rnacentral:rRNA from 1 species
GAUCAACGCUGGCGGCGUGCCUAAUGCAUGCAAGUCGAACGGGGUGAUCUUCGGAUGACUUACGUGGCGGACGGGUGAGGAACACGUGGGCAACCUGCCCGUUGGUGGGGGAUAGCCGGUGGAAACAUCGGGUAAUACCGCAUAAGACCCAGGACCGAGUGGGGUGCUGGGGGAAAGUCGUAAGACGCCGACGGAGGGGCCUGCGGCCGAUUAGGUAGACGGUGGGGUAAUGGCCUACCGUGCCGGUGAUCGGUAGCUGGUUUGAGAGGAUGAUCAGCCACACGGGGACUGAGACACGGCCCCGACUCCUACGGGAGGCAGCAGCAAGGAAUUUUCCGCAAUGGGCGAAAGCCUGACGGAGCAACGCCGCGUGUGGGAUGACGCUUUUCGGAGUGUAAACCACUGUUCAUGGGGACGAAGCACUGACGGUACCCAUGGAGGAAGGCCCGGCUAACUACGUG